rnacentral:misc_RNA from 1 species
UCUUUCUUUCUCUCUUUCCUUGCAGAACACUCAGAGACGCUAUGAAGAACACUACAGUAAAACACUCUCUUGCAGAAUAACAAAGCAAAAAACGAGAGAAAAGAUAAAACAAACGAAAAAAAGCUGAUAAAAUAUAAAAAAACUAACGAAACACAAGACUUUUUAAUAGUGGUUGGGAAGUGGCUUUCUCUAUGGCCAUGGGGUACGAGAGUGGUCUGAGAAUGGUCUGACCGUGGCCCCGUUGUGUGUGUUACUCCCCAAAGCUGUAUAUGGCAUCGUGGCGGCCAUACGGGGAAGAGCUACGGGAAGGACGGUAGUGGUUGUCAUUUCGCGGGGAUCAGAGGAUGCGGGCGCGGUUUUAUCAGCAACUGUAACAUCGGCGGGGCUGAGAGAGGUGUUACGGGACGGUGAAUUGUAUCAGUGACUCGAGAAACUUGGUGCAGUGUGUUGUGUGUGGCUGUGUGUGAACCCCCUUGAAAUGCUGUGACUCUUGCUACUGAAGGUCAAAUAAAUGGAAUCAGUGAAAGGCCUCCGUUGAAUUCCGCCACUACAAGUCUAUUCCUACAAGACUUUGAGAUGAUAUUAAAAAACGUGUGUGGCUGUAUGUAAACCUCUUGAAAUACUGUGACUCUUGCUACUGAAGGUCAAAUAGAUGGAACCAGUGAAAGGACUCCAUUGAAUUCCGCCGCUACAAGUCUAUUCCUACAAGACUUGGAGAUUAUUAAAAAAAACGUGUUUGGCUGUAUGUAAACCUCUUGAAACGCUUUGAUUCUUGCUACUGAAGGUUAAAUAAACGGAACCAGUGAAAGAACUCCAUUGAAUUCCGCCGCUACAAGUCUAUUACUACAAGACUUGGGGAUUAUAUUAAAGGUACACAGAGCAAUCUUAAUCUACGCUUCACAAAAUACUUAAGACUCGUGUGAGACUCGCUUAGGUAGCACGUGUGAACUCCAAAAACCCUUAAAACUGCCCUAAACCCCUAAGGAAACUCUCAUGUCCUUGACAGUGUGCUAAGCUUUCCCUGACGUGCCCCUGAGACCCUGAACAGCUAUCUAAGGGGUCCUGUUGCCUUUGAAGGGUUGUAAGGGGGAAACAGACUCCUCAAAGACACAUACUUAACUUGACCGUGGCUUCUUUUUUCCUCCUCCUUCACCAUGACGGAUGCUGCUCCCGCGCCUCUCACCCUCGCCACGCCCCCCGCGGCUGAUGGUGGCUCUGGUGUGCUCCCCCUGCCCCCGACGCCCCCCGACUCGGCCUCUGAUAUGACCCUGCUCACCUCCACAACCUCCACCUCCUCCACCACCUCCAACAACAACAACGAUGACAACAACAACACGGACACCACGCCCCCCGGCUCUCCCAAAUCAGCUUUACAAAGCAAGAGAGAGAUGUUCUUCAAAUCAGAGGCAGGCAGUGGCGGUGGUGGUGGUGGCGGCCCCCCUCUAAGUGCCCCAUCCGCCGCUCCCCCUGCUCCACCCGUCAGUGCCCCCUCAACAGCGCCUCCCCCACCCCCCUCUUCCACCACCCCUGCCCCCGCCGCCCCCACCUCGGCGCCCCCAGCGAGUGUGGCCUCCAUCAAGGAACAGCUCAUGACCACCAAGGAGAGGAAAGACCACAAGGAAGAGGAAAAUAAAGAGAACAAGCUGGUGAAGGAGCUGGUGAGAGAGCGGCGCCCGAGGGAGGUGGAUGGCUACGUGGGUUUCGCUAACCUCCCCAACCAGGUGUACCGUAAGGCUGUCAAGAGAGGUUUCGAGUUCUCCCUCAUGCUUGUCGGUGAGAGUGGGCUGGGCAAGAGCACGCUAAUCAACUCCAUGUUCCUGGCUGACAUUUACUCCAACGAUCACCCGGGGCCUUCCCACCGAGUGAAGAAAACUGUGCAGGUGGAAACGACCAAGGUGCUGCUGAAGGAGAACGGGGUCAACCUGAUGCUGACAGUUGUGGACACGCCGGGCUUUGGUGAUGCCGUGGACAACAGUGACUGCUGGCAGCCAGUCACCAACUAUGUGGAAUCCAAGUAUGAGGAGUACCUGAACUGCGAGUCUCGGGUGAAUCGGACGCAGAUCAGCGACACCAGGGUCCACUGUUGCCUGUAUUUCAUCGCUCCAUCUGGUCAUGGCCUGAAGCCGCUAGACGUGGAGUACAUGCGACGGCUGCACGACAAGGUGAACAUCAUUCCCGUCAUAGCCAAGGCCGACACGCUCACCCCCGACGAGUGCCAGCACCUCAAGAAACAGGUCCUGAAUGAAAUAGCGCAGCACAAGAUCAAGAUUUAUGAGUUCCCUGACGAGGAGGGAGAUGCCACCAGCACCAAGAUGAAGCAGCGGGUUCCCUUCGCUGUGGUCGGCUCCAACACCACGGUGGAGGUGGACGGGAAGAAGGUCCGGGGCAGGAAGUACCCUUGGGGAGUUGUGGAAGUGGAGAACAUCGAGCACUGUGACUUCAUCCCUCUGCGCAACAUGAUGAUCCGGACACACAUGCAGGACCUCAAGGACGUCACCAACAACGUCCACUACGAGAACUACCGCUGCCGCAAGCUGGCCGGGGUGGGCGGAACGGACGGCAAGAUUAAGAUGACCAAUAAGAACCCACUAGCACAAAUGGAGGAGGAGAAGAAGGAGCACACAAACCGCAUGAAGAAGAUGGAGAUUGAAAUGGAGCUGGUGUUUGAGAUGAAGGUGAAGGAGAAAAUGACAAAGAUCAGCGACCUUGAGAAUGAUCUUGAGAAACGUAAAGAGUCAAUGCGCAAGAAAUUGGAGGCAGACUUUACAGAGCUUGAGGAAGAGCGGGAGAGGUUUGAGAAGGAGCGCAAGGCUUGGGAGGCGGCAAAUGGCACCACUGUGGAUGAACUGAGGCGCAAAUCCCUCGAGUCCAUAAGCAGAGACAAAUGGAGCUCUCGAUCAAGUUUGCAUUUCUGGCACCGCUAGUUCGCUCCCGCUUGUUGCCCUCAUCCCUAAGCUUUAGUCCAGCCGCCCCAUGUGCCAAGGGCAUGUGGAUGGGAAAGAGAAACCCAAAAAGAGGAAAGGACUGUUUUAAAAAGCAAUGCUGCAGUUUCCACUACCUUAAAACAACACCUUACCUGCCAAACAAAAAAAGAACAAAAAAAUAUUACUGCUUCAACCACUUCAUUCCAUACUUCUUCACUUGCCCCUCCAUUCCCUUCAGUCCCUCCACACUUGUACCCAUUGCUAUCCCUCUCCAAUCAGCCCCUUUCCUUAGUCCAUCCCACCCCCCAACACACCUCUUCCCCUCUCCACCCUCUGUUUUCAAAGACCCUCAGAAAUUUCCUCAAAGUUCCCUGUGCCUGAGAACAUUAGUGUCUUGUUGGAGUGUCAGUAGCCCGGCAAGGGAGGCAGCGGCGGCAGCGCCAACACCAAACUGUCACGGCACUGUGUGGCAUGAAACACCAUCCCAGCAGUGCCACACCUGCCUAUAAUUAAGUUAGCUGUCUGCACCAAGGCCAACUCUCAGUGCCUAUGGAGUGUGACUGUGUUCUUGAAAGAAUAUAUGGCCUGUCUGCCUUGAUGCUUCUGUACACACCUUGUGUACUUGUGAAAAGCUUACUUGCACCUGAAAACUGUGCCAACAAACUUUAAAAACAAGAAAAAUGACAAGGUUGAAACUCUUAACACCCUGAGUGGCAGGGCUGGCAGACAUGUCCAUCUGGGAGGUCAUGCCAUGGACCAUGUUCCCCUGCGGCAAGGAUGUGACGCUGAGGGCCGCCCUCGUGAAGUGCUGCUGCUCAUCUACUGCUGCCACAUCAACACUGACUGCCCAUAGUGCUGGUCCAUUGUGGGCUUGUGUGUCAGGCAGGGCACUCACCACUGCCCACUUCAAAGCCAUCCUCAUCCCCUUCCUGCCACCUUGUAUCAUCUCCCACACUCCCCUUGACAUCCCUCAACACAUCCCCAUGUAUCCCUCCACAGUCUCAUGUGGUUAUGUAGCUCCAUACAUCCUCCCUACCACCAACACCAUUACAUAACAUGUCCAUAGAUUUUAUUCAGUUUGUUACAGCCUCAUCUAAAACAACAUGAUAUCACCCUUUUUUCCUUGCCUCCCUUCACAGCACCCCAAAGUUCCCCAUAAAUGUCAUAACUUUAUUUGAAUCCCCCUUGACAUCCCCAUCAUCUCCUCUCAGCCUCUCUACUGCCUUUAAGUUUAUCUCCUGUGGUGGUUCAUUCCAGUGUGCUGGCAUGUGCCCUCCCUGCCUCCCACCCUCACACUCAGGCAUCCCACCUAAUGCUCCUCUGCAGUGCUGGGGGUGGGAGGGGCAGGGGUGCUGUGGUGAGGUGCUGUGGAGGUCUGUACAUCCCUGCCACCUCCCCCCAUGCCACAACCCACAAGUAGUAGUUAGUUCAUAUUCAUCUGUGUCUCAAGGGGAGGGAAGAAGAAGAACCUGUUUACGUCUUGCCCUCCCUCCCUACCAGGCACACUCGAGUUAAAGAUGAGGUACAGGAUGUGCUCUGACUCCUCACACCAUGCCCUUCACUGGCCUGUCUCACACCUCAUCAGCACUUGUUAAUUUCCACCUUUGCUUUUUGCUCAGUGUCCGUCAAGCAGAAUGUGCAUAGGUCCCUCAACGCCAAUGUUUGUGUCAGCCACCAUCCAUGUGCAGGCUUUGAAGACAGGCCGAGUGGCUGCCUGACACUGGUGGUUUACUUGAAGCCAGUAUGUGUUAUGACUUGCCAUGUAUGAUGUGUCUGUUGACCUACAUAGCUGUAUUUUUUAACUGAUCAGAGACCCACUUGACUUCCUCAUAACUGCUUCUUGUCCAUGCUUAAGUUGUCUGCCAGGAGUGCGUUUCGUGUUCAUGUAGAAAUCAUAACCCUCUAAGACAUCGAUUGGACUGCAACGUAACAAUGCUUCCUUGUCCCUGCCGGAGUCGUCUGCCGUGGGGGUGGUGGGCUGGCCAGGGACCUAGUGAGGGGCUAGGCUAGGGGCACCUCAAAGGCUGGCUGGGCUGUGUUGGACCACUAGAUUAAAUAUGGGGGAAACUUUUUCAUUUGUAAGACAUAGAAUAGCUGCCCUUGCCUUUCUUUGCCCCCUCUGACCCUCCCUGGGGCCAGGUCAGCACGGGUCAGGGGUCACAUCCUUACAUGGUGUAAAUAGUGUACUUACAACUGUAGGAGGUUUAAGUCUGUGUAAACAAAGGGUAUUAUUAGACUUUUUUUUUUUUUUUUUUUUUUUUUUUUAGUUCUGCCUUCAAUUUCCUACUGUAUUAAUAGUUUACUUUUAUUUUAUUAUUUUUGGUUAUCAUGAUUAUGAUAAUUAACAUCUUCAUCCUUUCAACUAGUCGUUAUUCCUACAUACAUUUUUUUAUUUUAUUUUAUUUCAUAUUGUAUUCAGUUCACUGUUUGGCCCACUGCCACUGAACUGUAAAUAAGUGUAUACAUUUAUAUUGUUCAAACAACCAGCCUCUCCAAGGCCUGUUUGUAGCCUCUUCUUAUUUAUCUCUCAAUAAAGUGUGUGCUCUGC